rnacentral:misc_RNA from 1 species
AAUUGGAUAUAUGGCCAAAUUCCGCUAAAGAUGAUGUGGAAGUUCUUCAUGGAGGAACGUUGACCACACCAGUUGCGCUCAUCAAAUGUUUGAAGUCUAUCAAGGAACAUGCUUUUGCUGUUUCUGAGUAUCCUGUGGUAAUAACACUUGAAGAUCAUCUAACUACAGCUCUUCAGGCAAAAACAGCGGAGAUGAUCACUCAA